rnacentral:rRNA from 1 species
UGAGGAAUAUUGGUCAAUGGGCGCAAGCCUGAACCAGCCGUCCCGCGUGCAGGAAGACGGCGCUAUGCGUUGUAAACUGCUUUUCCAGGGAGAGAAACUUGCGCACGUGUUGCGCAGUUGACGGUACCCUGGGAAUAAGCAUCGGCUAACUCCGUGCCAGCAGCCGCGGUAAUACGGAGGAUGCGAGCGUUAUCCGGAUUCAUUGGGUUUAAAGGGUGCGUAGGCGGACUAUUAAGUCAGUGGUGAAAUCCCGCAGCUUAACUGCAGAACUGCCAUUGAUACUGAUAGCCUUGAGUUUGGUUAAGGUAGGCGGAAUGUGUAAUGUAGCGGUGAAAUGCUUAGAUAUUACACAGAACACCAAUUGCGUAGGCAGCUUACUGAGCCGACACUGACGCUGAGGCACGAAAGCGUGGGGAUCGAACAG